GGGGGAAAACCCAAAUUUGGGGGUUAAGAAAGAAGGCUCAGAAUUCAGGGUGGAAUGAUCAGGAGAAGGAAAGCACUCCGUGGCUGCAGUGUGUGGGAGUUGGGGUUCGCAUCUGCACGGGCUGCGAGCCCUGCAGGAGCCAACAGCACCUGGCAGCGCUUUGCAUUUCAGCCAGCCUGUGCCAAACCGGCGACCACAAGAGCUUUGUUUCCCCACUCCCAGAAUACGGCCGUGGGUCUGACUCAGAAGUUAUCAGCCUUUGCUGGGCGGAGGAGGAAUGCGGUGCUCUGGGAGUGCAGGGUCUGCUCAGCCAGGAGCUCAGUUGAGGGGCAGUGGCAAAUCUGUGAGGCGUUGCUGCGUGCUGCCGUGCAUACAGUGUGCACAGCUCGUAUUCGGUGAGUGCCCCCUGCUUGCUGCAGUUAUGUGCAGUUUAUGAGGCCCAGUUUGGAGCUGGAUGGGCGCAGCCACGCAUGCAGAUCGGCUUUCCAGCAGCAGGCAAUAACAGCACAGGGUUAGUGCAGCACAGGGGGUAUUCAGUGCCUUAAAGCUUGCAAAAUUAUACCCUCUCAUCACACGCUGUAAAAAGAAAUGUAACUUAGGAAGUAAUUCCCUUUAUGUGGAAUUGAGGAGUGAGGAAAUGUGUUAACCAGGCAAGAAUUCAAAGGGUUCACGUACAGCUCUGGCUUAAAAGAAUUCCUACAGCACUUUUGUACCAAUGAAUCCAAGCUCUGCAGAGCUGUGCUCAUCCAGGCCCUUGCUGCACAGCAAAGCUAUGGGUCUCCUUAUCUCCCCUUCUAAGGACCAGCAGUGUUUCCCAGAUGCUUUCGGUGGAGUCAGCGCAGUGUUUUUGCACGUCAGUGUUGCAGUGAUUCAAGGCAGGAGCUGAGGAGCUGCCUGCAUUUGUUCUCCUCCUUGGAAUAAAGGGAGGACCCUCUGUUCAGGUGCUGCUAUCUGUUAAAGAAAAGGACUGUUAAAUAGAAGAGCUUUCAGUGAGGUUCAUUCCGCUCGAACUGAUGGUGAUGCUUUGCUGGUGGUCGUCACCUGUGUGAAAGAACAGAAAAUAAAACGUGGGACCUUUUGGCUGCAGAGACCACAUCGCUGUGUCAGCUCUGAUGGGAAGAAGCCUCGGGAACACAGCAUGUCAGAGCUAUCUGCAACUCCAAGGGCACAGCAAAGGAACCACAGGCAUCUCCAUGGGUUGGGAUUAUGAAGAUUAAAGGAGGGAGGCUAAAAACAGCACUUCCAGCCGGCUGCUCCCAACGAGUCAGAAAUGCCACGUCGACAUCGCUGCCACUUACCUCCACCUAUGGUCUUCUGGAGCAAUUAGCAGUCAAUGUCUGGGCUUUUAAAGUCAUCAGUUGGGUGACCAAGAGGACUGAGUGGCACUGGCACUCAUGUUUUGGGUUUAAUUAAAGGAGCACAGAGUAUAGGAGAUAUGAAAGGCAUAUAGAUGUGUAUGUGAUGCAAAGCCUUGGUGGAGCUCCAAAGUCAUGGGGCUUCUCAGAGGCAGAAUCUGCAAGAGAAAGAAGAAAGGUGUUUUAGGAUGUGUUUCUUCAUCAGUAAGGAAAGUAUUAACUGAGCAUAGCAAGGUGAAAUGACUUCACUUUCUUUUAAACCUGGAAGUAGAGACCAAUCUCUGCAUGAUUGCCAAUGGGCUGCACUGAUGGACGGCUCUUCUGCAGCACUCUCUGGACUGUUUUGCUGCCCAUCCGAGGAGGAAGUUUCCCCAACCUUCCAUGCAAAUGCUCUCUUUGAUGCUGUGUUCAGGUUUGAAUUGCUGUGGGGAAGCGGUGAGGCAGAAAGCCCGGCCUCUCCUUGCAUGUCAGUGUGAGUGCUGUGCACGUCAGUGUGGUACUCAGCAUCGUUUUCCCCCAAGUGGCUGAAAAGGUGCCUUCUUUUUCCUUUGGAUGUGAUCGUCAGCUCUGCAGCAUCAGAUCUCACAGGAGGAGUAAAGCUCCGCAGCUGUGCAGAGGGCAAUCCAUGCUGUGGGUGGGGAGUUCCCAAUAGCACCAAUGUGCCAGACUGAGAGAGGUCCAAGGAGAAGAAGGUAGAAAACCUCGGCUGCAAUGAGCGGAGAGGUUCCUAGGUGUCACUGCAGCCCUGGCUGAUAGAGCUGGGAGAGCCCUUCGCUGGCGCAACCCCGGGGAAGUGGAAGCCAAUCCAACAAAGAACUUAAAGCUGCUCCGACUGCGAGAGGUUUGCCAUGAGAAUAUGGGCUGUGUUGUAAACACUGAGGUCUGGAGCCUUCCUUGGGGCUGAAAUAACUCGUUUGGCAUUCAGUGCUGUUCCCGGGCAUUGCAACUCUUGAAGUCCUGUUUAUAGGAUGUGUUUUCCUGUAACUGAAACGCUGGGAUUCGGAGAAAGCUUUCCGCAGCAGCAGGGUAAUGAUUCCAUUCCUCAGCAAAGGGAUCUGCAACACAACGGCCACCCAUCACCAUCACUGGCAAACCGGGGCUGAAAACGUGUGCUCUCGUUUUCCUGCUCAGUGGCAUUGGCAGUGGCAUUGGAACAGGACUUUGAAGGGCAGCGAAGUGGCUGAGGACGGCAAUUUCACCUCUAUGGGGAGCAUUACCAUGCCAAGGUUAAUCAGUGAUUUGCCAGAGAGCCCUCUGUGACCACUUUAUUUCUGCCUCUGAGGGGAACACGAGUCCUUCCCAUUGGCUGAGGAAGGAGAGGUCAUCAGAGCUGUGCAGCCGAUCUCCGCUCAGCCAAUAACCAUUGGCUCCACCACUUAUCCAAGUGCGACGUUUGCUUUGGUUGGGUGCCUGUGACACCGCCAGAGUCGAAACGAAGCCGAAUAUCUUUGGAAUGGAAAAUGGAUAAAAUACUUUGCAAUGGGGAGCGUGACGUGGAGGUCAACUCAAGGCCGUGACUGGGCAACAUGGAGGCAGCUGCCCUACGAUCACAGGGCUGAGCACAAACAGGACCCGAAUUACUCAGCAGUGCAAGCGCAGUGAUUUCCCCCCCUGACCAGGUGACUGUGAGAACUGUCAGCAAGUAAAUAAGCUCCAAUAAGCUCAUUAAUUCCCUAAAGAAAUAAUGAGAAGAUACUCAAGGGUAGAUCUUGCUGUCAGCUUAGGAGUGCUGUAGGAUUGCAGAAGGGUUUGGUAUUGAGCAGUGGGGCUGGCUACCCGAAAUCCAGCACAGAGCAUAAAACUAGAUGAGAACAGAAGCUUUAUUGAAGGCUGACUCUUUAACCAGUAAGACACCAACCUUCAUCUUGGGUGUUCCAAGGCAACUCGUCGAAGUUCAUAAAUCACUCAUAAAUGCAAUUUAAAAUCUCACUGAACCAAAGCAGCAGGAGGGGUGCUAACACACCACGUGGAUGGCGAACCAGAGUUGUACUGUGCCAGACUCUGACAGCAUUGGAGCCCAGUGAAUACGUUUGUGCACUGUGGCUUUUUUCCUUUUACUCUUUGUAGGCAGCUCCAAUUAAACAUCUUUACACUUGAUAUCAUGUCAAUAGCCCUCAUUUCCAGAAGCUGUGUUUUCUGUUUUUUUUUUCCUCCCACUUUUUGAUGUUUAAUGUGUUUCCCUCAUAUCCGAGUCCCUCUUGCCAAUACAUGGGAUGCUGCAUAUUUGAUGAGAACAAUUAAACAAGAGUUUUGUAAAUGUGUUUUAAGCUCACCCUCCUCCCCCCUCCACACACACACACACACUCUUGGCUCUCUUAAGCACUAGGAGAAAGGCCACCAGGAUCAGUAAGUCUUUCCCAUUUUAACACUGAUUUCUCUAGACACACCACUUAAUAAAGCUAGAAACAGGGAAGAGAAUGCUUGUUAAGAAAAUGAAAGCAUGGAAAUGCUUAAAAACGGGCUAAGCAAGGAAAUGACAGAAGCACAGAGUUGGAGUGGAUGGGUAACCCCAUCUGGUCGCACCAAUCACGGGAGAUUUUUGAGAUCUCCAAGGUAGAGAUGUCCAACAACGAAGAGCAGAGAGCUGUUCUGCUGAUGUUGCUGUACAAAACCUCCCGUCUUCCAGUUUGUGCCCAUCACCUCCAAUCGAGGCACUGAGCACCACUGGACAGAGCUCUGCUCUGUGCUCCCAUCAGGAGAGUUUUGACACCGACGAGGAUGGGAUUUGAACCCACGCGUGCAGAGCACAAUGGAUUAGCAGUCCAUCGCCUUAACCACUCGGCCACCUCGUCUGCCAAAUUUGGAUGUUGAAGAUGCAGUAAAGCUCUGGUUUAUUGUCAUCAUCAGAAUGACUUCUAAUUAGACAUGACUGUGGGUUGCCAUUAAGCUCUCCUCCAUUUAGCUAUGCUACACCGCGUUUUUUAAGACUAUUAAUGCACCAAUCCUACCUGUUUAUUUCAGUGCUAUUGAUAGCAUUAAGAAAUUCUAAGGCUGCCAC
ensembl:lncRNA